rnacentral:rRNA from 1 species
GCGCGAAAGCGUGACGUGGGAACUCCAAGUGCCUUGCCUUCGGGUAAGGCUUUUGUUCAGUGUAAGUACCUAAACGAAUAAGUGCUGGGUAAGACCGGUGCCAGCAGCCGCGGUAA